GACGAACGCUGGCGGCGUGCUUAACACAUGCAAGUCGAACGGAAAGGCCCUGCUUUUGUGGGGUGCUCGAGUGGCGAACGGGUGAGUAACACGUGAGUAACCUGCCCAUGACUUUGGGAUAACUUCAGGAAACUGGGGCUAAUACCGGAUAGGAGCUCCUGCUGCAUGGUGGGGGUUGGAAAGUUUCGGCGGUUGGGGAUGGACUCGCGGCUUAUCAGCCUGUUGGUGGGGUAGUGGCUUACCAAGGCUUUGACGGGUAGCCGGCCUGAGAGGGUGACCGGCCACAUUGGGACUGAGAUACGGCCCAGACUCCUACGGGAGGCAGCAGUGGGGAAUAUUGCACAAUGGGCGGAAGCCUGAUGCAGCAACGCCGCGUGCGGGAUGACGGCCUUCGGGUUGUAAACCGCUUUCGCCUGUGACGAAGCGUGAGUGACGGUAAUGGGUAAAGAAGCACCGGCUAACUACGUG
rnacentral:rRNA from 1 species